rnacentral:rRNA from 1 species
CAUAAAACUAUUCUCAGUUCGGAUUGUAGGCUGCAACUCGCCUACAUGAAGCCGGAAUCGCUAGUAAUCGUGGAUCAGCAUGCCACGGUGAAUACGUUCCCGGGCCUUGUACACACCGCCCGUCACACCACGAGAGUUUGUAACACCCGAAGUCGGUAGGGUAACCUUUAUGGAGCCAGCCGCCGAAGGUGGGACAGAUAAUUGGGGUGAAGUCGUAACAAGGUAGCCGUAUCGGAAGGUGCGGCUGGAUCACCUCCUUUCUAAGGAA